UACGUGAAACCGUUCAGGGGUAAACCUGAGAAACCCGAAAGAUCGAAAGAGAAAAUUCAUCGUGUUUCGGUGUGAUGUUAUUUUGUGGAGUGACAAAUGGUGUUAAAACCGUUCUGCGCCUGCUUUUUAUCAAAUCAUGCCGAAUGCGUGCACUUUUUCUCUAGUAGGACGUUGCGAUCCGUUGAGUGUAGACUUAAGGCCCGCAUAGGAGCCCAUUCGGUUUGGCUUCGGUCACUCAGUUUGGACGUGUGGUGUCCCGGUCUACUCGCUCGACGGUAUAUAGAUGGCAUAGAGCCGCAUUUAUGCGUUCAGCCUGUGGCAAGCACUUUCCUGCGUUGGCAGUCGGACCUAGCGCCGGCUCUGACCUGGCAAGACUGUUGGCCAUAGUGUUCUUGAACCGACUCUAUUUUUUAAGCCGAUCUGCGACGCUUUAGCUUUGGGUACUUUCAGGACCCGUCUUGAAACACGGACCAAGGAGUCUAGCAUGUGCGCGAGUCAUUGGGUAUUACAAAACCUAAAGGCGAAAUUAAUGUAAAGGUUUGACUUUGUGCAGACUUAGGGAAGAUGGGUGGUUCACAUUAACUGUGGCCGCUCCGCACUCCCGGGGCGUCUCAUUCUCAUUACGAGAAGAGGCGCACCAAGAGCGUACACGCUGGGACCCGAAAGAUGGUGAACUAUGCCUGGUCAGGACGAUAGUCAGGGGAAACCCUGAUGGAGGUCCGUAGCGAUUCUGACGUGCAAAUCGAUCGUCGRAACUGGGUAUAGGGGCGAAAGACUUAUCGAACCAUC
rnacentral:rRNA from 1 species